CACCAGAACAUCACAUUCAUCAGUAAUAAGGUCCUCAAUCAGCUGUCUGAAUGACCCCUAGAGGCACCAGAACAUCACAUUCAUCAGUAAUAAGGUCCUCAAUCAGCUGUCUGAAUGACCCCUAGAGGCACCAGAACAUCACAUUCAUCAGUAAUAAGGUCCUCAAUCAGCUGUCUGAAUGACCCCUAGAGGCACCAGAACAUCACAUUCAUCAGUAAUAAGGUCCUCAAUCAGCUGUCUGAAUGACCCCUAGAGGCACCAGAACAUCACAUUCAUCAGU